CAAGUAGGCGGUUUAUUAUGUUUAAAUAAAAGUCUAAAGAACAACUUUAUAUAAUUAUUUUAUACUGAUAAACUAGAGUAUAAUAGAAGUGUGUUGCACUUCCAGUGGAGAGGUAAAAUACGUAAAUAUUGUAAAGACAUUCAAUAGGUGAAACGACUAACUAUAUUAUUACUGACGCUGAGAGGCAAAAGCAUGGGUAUCAAACA
rnacentral:rRNA from 1 species